AGUCUGAUGGAGCAACGCCGCGUGAGUGAAGAAGCUUUCGGGUCUAAAACUCUGUUGUUGGAGAAGAAUGGUCGGCAGAGUAACUGUUGUCGGCGUGACGGUAUCCAACCAGAAAGCCACGGCUAACUACGUGCCAGCAGCCGCGGUAAUACGUAGGUGGCAAGCGUUAUCCGGAUUUAUUGGGCGUAAAGCGAGCGCAGGCGGUUUUUUAAGUCUGAUGUGAAAGCCCUCGGCUUAACCGAGGAAGCGCAUCGGAAACUGGGAAACUUGAGUGCAGAAGGAGGACAGUGGAACUCCAUGUGUAGCGGUGAAAUGCGUUGAUAUAUGGAAGAACACCAGUGGCGAAGGCGGCUGUCUGGUCUGUAACUGACGCUGAGGCUCGAAAGCAUGGGUAGCGAACAGGAUUAGAUACCCUGGUAGUCCAUGCCGUAAACGAUGAAUGCUAGGUGUUGGAGGGUUUCCGCCCUUCAGUGCCGCAGCUAACGCAUUAAGCAUUCCGCCUGGGGAGUACGACCGCAAGGUUGAAACUCAAAGGAAUUGACGGGGGCCCGCACAAGCG
rnacentral:rRNA from 2 species